rnacentral:rRNA from 1 species
GAUGAACGCUGGCGGCGUGCCUAAUACAUGCAAGUCGAGCGAACAGACAAGGAGCUUGCUCCUUUGACGUUAGCGGCGGACGGGUGAGUAACACGUGGGUAACCUACCUAUAAGACUGGGAUAACUUCGGGAAACCGGAGCUAAUACCGGAUAAUAUUUCGAACCGCAUGGUUCGAUAGUGAAAGAUGGUUUUGCUAUCACUUAUAGAUGGACCCGCGCCGUAUUAGCUAGUUGGUAAGGUAACGGCUUACCAAGGCGACGAUACGUAGCCGACCUGAGAGGGUGAUCGGCCACACUGGAACUGAGACACGGUCCAGACUCCUACGGGAGGCAGCAGUAGGGAAUCUUCCGCAAUGGGCGAAAGCCUGACGGAGCAACGCCGCGUGAGUGAUGAAGGUCUUCGGAUCGUAAAACUCUGUUAUUAGGGAAGAACAUACGUGUAAGUAACUAUGCACGUCUUGACGGUACCUAAUCAGAAAGCCACGGCUAACUACGUGCCAGCAGCCGCGGUAAUACGUAGGUGGCAAGCGUUAUCCGGAAUUAUUGGGCGUAAAGCGCGCGUAGGCGGUUUUUUAAGUCUGAUGUGAAAGCCCACGGCUCAACCGUGGAGGGUCAUUGGAAACUGGAAAGCUUGAGUGCAGAAGAGGAAAGUGGAAUUCCAUGUGUAGCGGUGAAAUGCGCAGAGAUAUGGAGGAACACCAGUGGCGAAGGCGACUUUCUGGUCUGUAACUGACGCUGACGUGCGAAAGCGUGGGGAUCAAACAGGAUUAGAUACCCUGGUAGCCCACGCCGUAAACGAUGAGUGCUAAGUGUUAGGGGGUUUCCGCCCCUUAGUGCUGCAGCUAACGCAUUAAGCACUCCGCCUGGGGAGUACGACCGCAAGGUUGAAACUCAAAGGAAUUGACGGGGACCCGCACAAGCGGUGGAGCAUGUGGUUUAAUUCGAAGCAACGCGAAGAACCUUACCAAAUCUUGACAUCCUUUGACAACUCUAGAGAUAGAGCCUUCCCCUUCGGGGGACAAAGUGACAGGUGGUGCAUGGUUGUCGUCAGCUCGUGUCGUGAGAUGUUGGGUUAAGUCCCGCAACGAGCGCAACCCUUAAGCUUAGUUGCCAUCAUUAAGUUGGGCACUCUAAGUUGACUGCCGGUGACAAACCGGAGGGAGGUGGGGAUGACGUCAAAUCAUCAUGCCCCUUAUGAUUUGGGCUACACACGUGCUACAAUGGACAAUACAAAGGGCAGCGAAACCGCGAGGUCAAGCAAAUCCCAUAAAGUUGUUCUCAGUUCGGAUUGUAGUCUGCAACUCGACUACAUGAAGCUGGAAUCGCUAGUAAUCGUAGAUCAGCAUGCUACGGUGAAUACGUUCCCGGGUCU